rnacentral:lncRNA from 1 species
UACCACGAUCGUUUUUGAAACCAAACGGCAACACUCUUGUAUUGUUUGAGGAAAAUGGCGGUGAUCCGACCCAAAUAUCUUUUGCUACAAAACAGCUGGAAAGUGUGUGUUCACAUGUAUCUGAUUCUCACCCACCUCAAAUAGACUUGUGGAACCAAGAUACAGAAUCAGGGGGAAAAGUAGGGCCUGCUCUGUUGCUCAGUUGUCCUAAUCAUAAUCAGGUAAUUUCAUCCAUCAAAUUUGCAAGCUAUGGAACACCUUUAGGGACGUGUGGAAACUUCUACCGCGGACGCUGCAGCAGCAAUAAGGCGCUGUCAAUUGUAAAGAAGGUGUUUAUCUGAACUCCUGUUCCCUUACUAAUUUGUUAUGUUUCACAUUGGUUUAGAUUGACUAUGUUGGCCAUGGCUAAUAGUUUACUGAUAUGUGAGUAGGUUGCUUGAGCUGAUCAGAAUAAUAGAAAAUCAACUAACCAAUUAAUUGUAUUUAAACACAAGCAGUAAUAUGUAACUCUAAGCUUGAACAAUAGAAAACACUACAACCACUUUGCAGCCGUAGACAGACACAAUUUGCCGAACUCGGUGAUCAAAUCUUGUUUGUUUUUGUUGGUUUUAAAGAGGUUAGCGGCUGAAACACACUAUGCACAGAAAAGUGGAGAAUUGUGGGUUCAACCCGAGCUCUAACAUAUCAAAUGUUCCCACAUCCUUUUACCAUAUGAGUUGUACUUACGGGACAAUCACUUGUGUUCUUUGUUUCCGUUUAUCAUAUCUGUUGUCUUUUGAACCAGAGUUGUUGUAACAUACUAAAAUCAUCUUAUUAACAGGCCUGCAUUGGAUCAAGAAGUUGUAGUGUUGGAGUAUCAACUGAUACAUUUGGAGACCCUUGUAGAGGAGUACCGAAAAGUUUAGCUGUUGAAGCUACUUGUGCAUAGACAAACAUGUAACAUGUUGCUCUAAGAGCAGUCCUCAAUUGUGUUCAACUCUUAUCUUCAAUUCAUCUUCCCUAUCUAAAUUAGAAUUGUAUUCUAGGAACAUCCCAAUUUUUUAUUUUUCACUUAGAAUAGUGCUGUACCACUUGCAAUAAAAGAACAAAAAUGUGGUCCAUAUGGUGAUCUUUGAUACGUGAUAAAACGGUGUUCUUUUGUUGUUCUAGUAGUGAAAAGGAUGGUAAUGGUCCCAUAUAUACUUGUAAUACAAGUUGCACUCAGUGUGAGGAACCUGAACAGUGAAAAGUGGAAAAUUUGGACUUUUGGAGUAUGAACCAAGUUGGAUUAUUAGUUGGAAAAUGAUGUAUUUGAAAUUUUACUUCUUGUAGAGGAAGGUAACGAGAUAGAGGAGAUUCAAUUAAUCAACAUUAGGCAAAAUUUGUGUUGAGUUCUGUUAAUCAUGUUUCUGUAGAUAUCCUAACAUUUGAAUGAAAAUAUAAUACAUGAUUUAUUUGAAAACUUUAUAUUUUUUUAUUUUAAUCACCUGUAUUAUUUUUUUAAAAAAAUGGUGACUUCUUUAAUAAAUAUAAUAAUAAAGAAUAAUCAAUGUUUAUUUUCUUCAAGUAUUUUACAUGCAUAUAUAUAUAAGUUUUAAUAUACUUUUUUUUAACGUAUCAUAUCUUAAAUUUAAAAAAAAAAUUGUGUAUUUGCGUACCCAUAUUGUAUGCCCAAAUGCCCUUAAUUUGGAAAUGCUAGCAAGUGUCAUAAGGGUACUUGUUUAGAAGUUUAAAGUAAAAGUUUUAUCUUAGAAAUUGUGUAUUCAAUACAUUGAAACAACAAAAAGUAAUUUUUUUCAACAAAAAAUUUAUCAGUUAUUUCUAUUUUUGAAUCUUUAACAAGUGUCUUUAAGGCAAUUGUUUGCAUAACCCUAAUAUUAGUUCUAUGAAGCAGAUUUUUUUUUGUUCAUAAUCAAUAUGUAGAAUUUAUUCUUUUUUUAUUUUUAAAUACAAAGAAAAAGUGUUCUCAAUACUUUUUGUCACAUGAGCUGCAGAAAUUUAACGAUCCAAAUUGAGUCAGUUGGUAAAAAGAUGUUUCAUUUAACAAUCCAAAUUGAUUCAGUUGGUAAAAAGAUGUCUCAUAUGCUAGAAGGGUAUGAAUUCAAUUCUCGCAGCUAUAAUGAAAAAUGGAUGGGUAAUUUAUAAAUACCCCUAGUGAACCCGUCAUCUAAGUUAUCUAAACUUUUUUUUAUAUAAAAUAAAGUAAAAAUAUGCAAUGUAUGUAAAUAAUGUGAUAAUAAAAAAGUAUAAUAAACGUGUUUGAGUUGAUUAAACAAUGUUAAGUUUGUCCUUACGAGCUUAGUUUAGUUGGUAUAGACAAUGCAUCAUAAUAUAUGUAAAAUACGAGGUUCAAACCCCGACCAUCAAAAAAAAAAAAAACAAUGCUAAGUUUGUGGAGAAUGAUAUUGCAGUUCAACCCCCACAUGAAUACAUUUUUAAAGUUGUUUUAUGAUGCAACAAGAAUCCAAUUUGAUAUCCCUAAUGAGGUCAAAAAUCCUAUCUAUUUUUUUUUUUUAAAUUAGAGGUGUUUAUUAUAGUUUUAGAAUAAAUUAAUGCACAUAUUUUUUAAAAAAUUUAAUAAUAAUUAGACUUUAUUUUACAAACUAGUUAGAUAUAUUUAUGUACUUAAAUUAUAAUAAUAAGAUGAAAUAAUUUAGAUGACGAGUUGAGUAAGAAUUUUACCUAAUAUUUAUCAAAUGUUACAAGAACUAAAUAAUAACACCUAUUUUUUAUUUAGUUAUAUUUUUUAAGUGUUACUAAAUCUCAUAUAUAUGUUAUAGUGCCUACCACAUAAGGUAUUUUUUUUUUUUGAAGGAUACCACAUAAGGUAUUUAUUCACUGAAUAUACGUUUAUAAUUCGGACAGAGGGCGUAUUACCUUGUUUCUCCUCAUAGAAUGUACAUUAUAUAUACACGUGUUAUAUUACUCAUGUUCUUCUUCUAAGCAUCAUCACUUACAUUUCACAUCCACGUGACCAAAAAAACACAUGUAACAAAUAAACCAAACCAAACCAAAGUCCAAUCUUUCCUUCCCUAGUGAGUUUCUUUUUCUCUUUUUGGAUCAUUCAUUCUUCUAGAAUAAUUACCAUGAGAGCCACUGAAAUUGUGUUGGUUCUGCUUUGGUUCUUACCAACAAUGUUUUGCACCAAUGUGGAUUAUGAUCAUAGAGCAUUGGUCAUUGAUGGUAAACGUAGAGUCUUGAUUUCUGGUUCUAUUCACUACCCUCGUAGUACUCCACAGGUUUUAUUUUAUGUCUCUCUUUGAUUCUGUUUGUGUGUUGAAUUUAAACAGUGCUGAAUUUGUUGUUGUUUAUAGAUGUGGCCAGACCUUAUUCAGAAAUCUAAAGAUGGAGGACUUGAUGUUAUUGAAACCUAUGUUUUCUGGAACUUACAUGAACCUGUUAAAGGCCAGGUUCUCUUUGCUUCAUUUCUUCUCUUACAUUCUUACCAUUUUCUUUGAGCAUUGCAUUUGUUCAUUGCUUGCAGGAAAAGAAAACAAGUGUCUAUGUUAAGCUGAAUUGCUAAUUGUUGAAAGCAUGACUGAACAAGUUUGGAUUGACUUAUUUGAGUUUAUCUACUGACAUAAUCUCUCCAAGAUAGAUAAUGAAACAUAUUAACUAUAUGAAAACAAUAUGACUCUAAAAUCUUUUGUAAAUAGAAUAAGCACUUAUAUGUUAUAAGCACUUAAUUAAGUAUUUUAUCCAAAUAUGAUCUUGAUCUACUAUAAGCUAAGAAAGUCUAUCUUAAUUCAUUGAAAUGAAAUGGAUUUUUGCAGUAUGAUUUUGAUGGGAGGAAGGAUUUGGUGAAAUUUGUGAAAGCAGUAGCUGAGGCAGGUCUAUAUGUGCAUCUCCGGAUUGGUCCAUAUGUUUGUUCUGAAUGGAACUAUGGGUAAAGUUUGGUAAUUUAUGUGUAUUAUAUUUCGAGGGUGUUCAUGUCUAAUUGAGGGCUUUAACUUCUUGACAGUGGUUUCCCUCUUUGGCUUCACUUCAUUCCAGGGAUUAAGUUCCGAACUGACAAUGAACCAUUUAAGGUAAGUUAACCUUCAGUCCAGUGCUUCAUGCUUUUGUCCUUGGACUGAGUUCACUUGACAGGAAACUUUGUCUUCAGGUUGAAAUGAAGCGAUUCACCACUAAGAUUGUCGACCUCAUGAAGCAAGAGAAACUGUAUGCAUCACAAGGAGGACCUAUAAUUUUAUCUCAGGUUUUUUUAUCAUGAAAUACAAUACAAGUAUAGUUAAUAUAUUCUUGAAGAUAUUAAGGUCAAAGUUUAUAUUUGUUAAUGUGAGAGUGUUUGUGAUUUCUAAUGACAGAUAGAAAAUGAGUAUGGAGACAUCGAUUCAGCCUAUGGUUCUGCUGGUAAAUCAUACAUCAAUUGGGCAGCAAAAAUGGCUACAUCUCUUGAUACAGGUGUACCUUGGGUCAUGUGUCAGCAAGCAGAUGCUCCUGAUCCAAUUGUAAGUUUUAUGUUUUGAUAUGUCAAUGUUAAUUGUUUUUUAGUUUAUGGUUUACUAGGUUGCCUGUCUUCCGGAAAAGAGCAAUCUUGGUAUGCCGUUUGCAUUCAUCUUACUCAAUUUUUACUUGAACUGCAAGUAGAUUAAUACCUGCAAUGGAUUUUACUGCGAUCAAUUCACACCAAACUCUAAAACAAAGCCAAAAUUGUGGACUGAAAAUUGGAGUGCAUGGUUAGCAACUUAGCAUCCUUUUUUAUAUAAAUAAUUUAAUCAAUUUGUUUAUGUUAUUUUCCAAAUCUUACUUGAAUUCUUUGGAAUGGUAGGUAUCUUUUAUUUGGUGGUGGGUUUCCUCACAGACCUGUGGAAGAUCUCGCAUUUGCUGUCGCACGCUUUUUCCAACGAGGUGGAACAUUUCAAAAUUACUAUAUGGUAUUGCAACCUGAAAUGUUCUUCACAAGUUCAGAAUAAUAUGAUAAUAUUACUUCACUGAAAAAUUGGCUCUAAGAGGAAUUAGCUGAUACUGUAUCAUUUUUCAUUGCUUGACUAAAAACAGUACCAUGGAGGAACCAACUUUGACCGAAGUACUGGAGGACCAUUCAUUGCAACAAGUUAUGAUUUUGAUGCACCGAUUGAUGAGUAUGGUAUGACUCCUUCAACCUUCUUAUUGAAAUCUAUUGUUCAUGUUGUAGCCGUCACAAAUACAACACUGGUAAUACAUCGAAGAAGAUAAAUUGAUAAUAUCACAUGGAUAGUUUAUUUCUUAUAUGUAGAAGAGAAAUUACACUGGACGAUUGGAUUUUUUAAUAUCUUCGCUACAUGCUGCAGGAGUUAUUAGGCAGCCGAAGUGGGGUCAUCUUAAAGAUGUGCACAAGGCCAUAAAGCUUUGUGAAGAAGCAUUAAUAGCCGCAGAACCCAAGAUUACUUAUCUUGGUCCAAACCUAGAGGUAUAGAUGGUUUAUAUUGAAAUUUUUGUUCGUUUGAAACAUCUUAUUCCGCGUCUUAGGAUAUAAUUUAUUUUGUAACUAAAACUCAUCUGGUUUGUCAAUAGUGUAAGAUUCUUUCUUUGAAAAAUUCCCGGCAUUAAUAGUCUUUUACUAAUAAAACCGCAGGCGGCCGUUUAUAAGACAGGAUCUGUAUGUGCUGCCUUUCUCGCCAAUGUGGACGCCAAAUCUGAUAAAACCGUAAAUUUCAGUGGCAAUUCAUAUCACUUGCCUGCAUGGUCUGUGAGCAUCUUGCCAGAUUGCAAGAAUGUAGUGCUUAAUACUGCAAAGGUUUGUCUUACCUUCAUUUGUGUUAAGUUGCUUCAAUAACACAAUUAUCUCAAUCAAAAUAGAUAGUUUAAUUGAAUAGAGUUACUAAAAAAGUGUGAUUCAUAUUCAUUUUGUGAAUAUUCUAUCUAUACCAAGGUGUUUUCUCUUAUUUGUUAGUCCAAAGUAAGUAGGAUGUAAUAAAAGUAAAUUUUUUUAUGCCAGAUUAAUUCUGCAUCUACAAUUUCAAACUUCGUAACUGAAUCUUUAAAAGAAGAUAUCAGUUCUUCAGAAACUUCUAGAUCAAAAUGGAGUUGGAUAAACGAACCUGUGGGUAUUUCGAAGGAUGAUAUAUUGUCAAAGACUGGAUUACUUGAGCAAAUAAAUAUCACAGCUGAUAGAAGUGACUACUUGUGGUACUCAUUAAGGUAUACAAGCCUCCAAAUUUGAAAGAUAUUUUCCCUGACUGAUGAUUCUGUACUUCUCGAUAACACUUCUAUUGUAUUCUUUUGAAGCGUUGAUCUUAAGGAUGAUCCUGGUUCUCAAACUGUCCUUCACAUUGAAUCGCUCGGCCAUGCCCUUCAUGCUUUCAUAAACGGCAAGCUUGCAGGUAAUUAUUCACAAGGAUAUGGUUUUUAUAUUUUGAAAGUGUUGGAAUUAAUUGAAUUGACUAGUUUUAGUGAUUUGCUGUAAUUUGGAAUUCAAAUUAUAGUUGACUCAUAUCCUUGUAUAUCUUUCCAUUUAUUUCUUGUAGUUAUGUUUUCAUUUUUUUAUCUCCUAUAAUCAUGGAGGAAACCUUGUAUAUAUUCCCUACUUUCAUAUCAAUGAAAUACACCAUUAUACCAUUUUCUUUUACAUGGUAUCAGAGCCGACUCCAAUUACCUCUCAUUUCUAGGUAUUGGAGAUUAGCUUCUGAGUAAGAAAAUGGCGAAUGGGUCAGAUAAAUCAGAUUCUGGUGAUAAAUCAGAUUCUGCUCAAAAAUCAAAUUCUGCUCCACAUACACAUGAUAUGUAUUCAUCCCUCACACCUGAACGUCUUGAUGGCACAAACUAUACCGAAUGGGCCCUAAAUGCAGAAAACAAGAUCAGAGGUCGUAAACAUUGGGGUUACAUCUCUGGAAAGAAGGUCACACCUGCAACAAAAACCUCUGAUGAAUAUGAAACUUGGGAAGAUGAGAAUUGUUUGGUCAAGUCUUGGCUUCUGGAUGCAAUGACAAAAGAUGUUAGGUCGCUUUUCAUCCGGUUACCUACAGCCAAGAAGAUCUGGGAAUCGGUCAAGGAGACUUACUCUGUCAGUCAAGAUGCAUCAAAGGCAUAUCAGCUUUAUUGUGAGGUAAUAUCUAUUAAACAAGAUGGUGGAUCCGUUGUUACUUACUUUGCAAAAUUACAGAAACUGUGGCAGGAAAUUGAUGCGAUUGAAGAUUGUACCAUGGUGUGCACUAAAGAUGUUGAGACAUAUACCAACAAACUGAAUGCGCAACGUGUAUACAUAUUCCUAGCAGGACUUGAUUCACACUUGGAUGGGGUACGUGGUCGAAUUCUUGCAACCAUACCACUUCCAGGUAUACAAACUGUGUAUGCAAAUGUCUGUGUUGAGGCGAAUCGCCAAGAAGCCAUGCUUUGUACAACACAAAGUGAAGGUGCUGCAAUGGCUAUGAAAAAGCCAUUUAAUUCCAAUAAAGGAAACCGCAAAUGUACACACUGUAAUGGAAACAACCAUACCGCAGAUACUUGUUUUAAGAUACACGGUUAUCCUCAAUGGCACCCAAAAGGGAAAAAGGAGGAUGCUCUCAAUAACAAUACUACCGGUGCUUCUGGAUUUGUUGCUAAGUCAGGUACAUCUCAAUCUGUUUGUUGUUUUUCUGUUGUUACUUGUGAUAAUGAAUGGAUAAUUGAUACUGGUGCAACUCAUCAUAUGACUUGUAAUAAAUAUAUGUUUACACAUUUAUCCUCUAAUAGUCCUGUUCGAGUCAUUAUAAAUGCUAAUGGUGUUUCUUCCCAUGUUAUGGGUAUUGGUACAGUGUCAAUUUCACCAUCAUUAUCCCUUUAUGAUGUUCUCUUUGUUCCCUCUCUCAAUUGCAAUCUUCUCUCUGUUAACCAACUAACCGAGUCCCUUAAUUGUGCCGUCGUGUUCUUUUCCACACAUUGUAUUUUGCAGAAUGUUCAUACAAAGGAGAAGAUUGGCAGUGGUAAAAAAAGAGAAGGAUUAUACUAUCUUGAAGGUAACUCUCAACAUCCCAAAGGAAAAGCACUAGUUCACUCUAUGAGUGAUGGAUUACAAGCUAGAAAUAUAGAAGAUAUUUGGCAAUGGCAUAAGCGAUUAGGACACCCAUCAUUUAGCUAUCUCAAGAGAUUGUUUCCUUCAUUGUUUAGUCGUUGUGAUAUCUCUGAUUUUAAAUGUGAAACUUGUGUAAUGGCAAAAAGCCAUCGUGUUUCUUUUCCUAUAAAUAAUAGUAGAGCUGAUGCUCCUUUUUCAAUUAUUCACUCAGAUGUUUGGGGACCAUCUCCAUUUCCCACAAAUAAUGGAAUGAGGUGGUUUGUGACCUUUGUGGAUGAUUGUACAAGAAUGACCUGGUUAUAUUUUCUUAAACACAAAAGUGAUUUGUUUAGUGUCUUUCAAGUUUUUCACAAAAUGAUAACAACACAAUUUAAUACUCCAAUCAAGAUAGUUAGGUCUGAUAAUGGAGGAGAAUAUCAUAAUAAUAAAUUGACAACUUUUAUGAAAUCAGUUGGUAUUCUCCAUCAAACAUCAUGUCCUAAUACCCCUCAGCAGAAUGGAGUAGCUGAAAGAAAAAAUAGACACCUUUUGGAGAUUACUAGGUCACUCUUGAUUGGGAGUAAUGUUCCUUCUUAUUUAUGGGGUGAAGCUUUAAGCUCUGCAGUUUAUCUUAUUAAUAGAGUCCCCUCAAGUGUGCUAAAUUUUAGAAGACCUAUUGAUGUUCUUUCUAAUCAUUGCACACUUAACUCUAUCAAUAAUUUACCACCCCAUAUUUUUGGUUGUGUCAUAUAUGUACAUUUACAUCCUCACCAAAGAACAAAAUUAGAAUCUAGAGCAAUGAAAUGUGUUUUUGUGGGAUACAGCACCACUCAAAAGGGAUAUAAAGCUUAUCAUCCAUCUUCAAAAAAAUAUUUUGUUUCAAUGGAUGUUACCUUUCAUGAACAUGAAUUGUUUUUUCUUUCUAAAACACUCCAUUCUUCACCUCAGAGGGGAAGUGAUGUAGAGGUGCAGAAUCAUGAAAUACGCAUCCAUGAAAUCAUGUUAUUUGAUACUAUGCCAAUAGAAAAUCAAAAUGAAAUUCAAGAUAUUGAAGAUGAGAAUCAAGAUAUUGGAAAUGAGAAUAUGACCGAAGAUGAUAGUAUAAUUUCCUCUUCAACUUCAAGCCCACUGCUGAUCCAAUCCUCAGAAAAUUCUGCAGAGGUACCAUCUGAAACUAUUGCUUCUAUUCAUUCUAUUGCUGAUAUAGAAAAUUAUGUUUCCGCUGAUAUAGAAAAUAAUGACUCUUCUUCUAGUCCAUUAAAUUUUGACCAUGUUGUUAGCACUUACACUCUUCCCCCUCGUACUAACAGAGGACAACCUCCAAUAAGGUAUGAACCUGACCCUAAUUGUAAGCUAAAGUACCCUAUAAAUAACUAUGUGUCAUUCCAAAAGUUGUCCAAGUCAUAUGCUAAUUAUGCAUCUCAAUUAUCCAUUGCAUCUACACCUAGUAACUUGCAGGAAGCUCUAGCAGAUUUGAGAUGGACACAGGCAAUGACAGCAGAAAUGGAAGCAUUGGAGAAAAAUGCUACUUGGGAACUUGUCUCCUUACCGGUCGGAAAGAGCACUGUAGGUUGUAGAUGGGUGUUUACUAUCAAACAUAAGGCCGAUGGAAGUGUUGAGAGGUUUAAAGCGAGGUUAGUUGCAAAAGGUUACACUCAAUCCUAUGGAGUUGAUUAUGAAGAAACUUUUGCACCAGUUGCAAAACUCAACACAGUGAGGGUAUUACUAUCAUUAGCAGCAAAUCAAGAUUGGCCGCUACUUCAAUUUGAUGUAAAAAAUGCCUUUUUACAUGGAGAUUUAAUAGAAGAAGUGUAUAUGGAUCCUCCCCCUGGCAUACCAAGGUACUCAAAUAUUUCUAUGGUGUGCAAGCUUAAAAAGGCCCUAUAUGGAUUAAAACAGUCACCAAGAGCUUGGUUUGGAAGGUUUACUAAGUCUAUGAAGUUUUUUGGUUACACACAAAGUAAUUCUGAUCACACCUUGUUUCUUAAACAUAAUCAUGGUAAGAUCACCGCAUUGAUAAUAUAUGUUGAUGAUAUGAUUGUGACUGGAAAUGAUCCUAAUGAAAUUUCGAGCUUGCAGCGAUAUUUAGCUUCUAAUUUUGACAUGAAACAACUUGGAGAUCUAAAGUAUUUUUUGGGGAUCGAAGUUGCAAGGUCCAAGCAUGGUAUCUUUCUUUCUCAAAGAAAGUAUGUGUUAGAUUUGUUAACUGAGACAGGAAUGCUUGGAUGCAAACCAAUUGAAACUCCCAUAGAACAAAAUCACAAAAACUUUUGUUGUGCUGAUGCGCCUAGUACGGAUCGUCAAAGAUAUCAAAGAUUAGUUGGGAAGUUAAUUUAUUUGUCUCAUACUAGGCCAGACAUAGCGUAUGCAGUUAAUGUUGUGAGCCAAUUUAUGCAUGACCCAAGAAAACCGCAUAUGGAUGCGGUUGAACGAAUACUGAGGUACUUAAAAUCUGCUCCAGGAAAAGGUUUGUUAUUCUCAAACCAUGGUCACCUCAAAGUCGAAGGUUAUACCGAUGCUGAUUGGGCCGGAUCUGCGGAUGACAGAAAGUCUACUGCAGGCUACUUAACUUUUGUGGGAGGAAAUUUAGUAACUUGGAGGAGUAAAAAACAACAAGUAGUUGCUAGAUCAAGUGCCGAAGCAGAAUUCAGGGGGAUGGCAGUAGGAAUAUGUGAACUGCUAUGGAUUAAAAACCUUUUAAAGGAUCUUGGAUGUGAACAAGAGGAUGCAAUGAAGCUUUACUGUGACAAUAAAUCUGCCAUAGAGAUUGCUCAUAACCCUGUCCAACAUGAUCGCACAAAACACGUGGAAAUUGAUAGGCAUUUCAUCAAAGAAAAGAUUGAAGCUGGUAUUAUUGCAUUUCCGUUUGUAAAAUCAGAACAACAACUUGCUGAUAUGCUUACUAAGGCAGUAACCUCCAGGACUCUUGCUGGUUCUCUUGACAAGUUGGGUAUGUGUGAUAUUCAUGCACCAACUUGAGAGGGGAUGUUGGAAUUAAUUGAAUUGACUAGUUUUAGUGAUUUGCUGUAAUUUGGAAUUCAAAUUAUAGUUGACUCAUAUCCUUGUAUAUCUUUCCAUUUAUUUCUUGUAGUUAUGUUUUCAUUUUUUUAUCUCCUAUAAUCAUGGAGGAAACCUUGUAUAUAUUCCCUACUUUCAUAUCAAUGAAAUACACCAUUAUACCAUUUUCUUUUACAGAAAGUCUCAAAGAGCCUGUGUUAUUGAAACUCAAAUGAAGUCGAGGUUGAUUUUAAAACAAGUUAAAACAUGAGUUGAUCAUUGAUUUUUUUUUUUAUUUUUUUUAGGGAGAGUUGAUGAUGGAUGUUCCUUCUAAAAAUGUUCAUAAUUUAUUUUUUCAAUUAAGUUCUUGAAUUAUUAAAUAAUAACUUUCUAUGAUAUUAUUGAUGAAUUCUUAGGGAGUCAAACCGGGAACAAAGAAAAACCUAAGCUUAAUGAGGACAUCCCGAUCACAGUUCUUUCUGGAAAGAAUAAAAUUGAUCUGCUGAGUUUAACAGUUGGACUUCAGGUUCAGCUUUUCUUGUUUUUAGUUUCCAAUUAUGCAUAGAAUUGCUUGCUCCCCCAAUGAUUUCUCUCAUUACUAUAUCUAACAUGAACCAUAUACACAUCAGAACUAUGGAGCUUUUUUUGACACAUGGGGAGCGGGGAUCACCGGUCCAGUGAUAUUGAAAGGUUUGAAGAAUGGCAACAAGACUCUUGAUCUCUCCUCUCGGAAGUGGACAUAUCAGGUCAGUCUUCACUUUUGAUCGAAGACUAUUUGUUAGUCUUACAUAGUUAAUGGAGUUAAUUCUUUUGAUACAGGUUGGCCUAAAAGGUGAAGAUUUAGGUCUCUCUAGUGGAAGUUCCGGAGCGUGGAAUUCAAAGACUACUUUCCCUAAGAAACAACCAUUGAUUUGGUACAAGGUAAUUUAAUUUUCAAUUUAUUGUUUCCCUUGAUAUAAGUUAUGGAAUUUCAAAUUAAAAGAACGCCACUAUAUGAAAAAUGUUUUUUGCUACUAACCAAUGUCAUGCAUGUUGCAUUAGACAAACUUUGAUGCUCCAUCCGGCAGUAAUCCAGUUGUGAUUGACUUCACAGGGAUGGGAAAAGGCGAGGCUUGGGUAAAUGGACAAAGCAUUGGGCGAUACUGGCCUACAUAUGUUGCUUCAAAUGUCGAUUGCACAGACUCAUGCAACUACAGAGGACCUUUUACUCAAACCAAAUGUCACAUGAAUUGUGGAAAACCAUCACAGACAUUGUAAGUGUUGCAAAUUUUCAAUGAAGAAGAGUUUAAACAUGAGAAAAAAAAUCUUGAUCUAUGAUGUGAUUGAGACAUUAAUCUCAUCUCACAGAUACCACGUGCCACAGUCGUUUUUGAAACCAAAUGGAAACACUCUUGUAUUGUUUGAGGAAAGUGGUGGUGAUCCAACACAAAUAUCUUUUGCUACAAAACAGAUAGGAAGUGUGUGUGCCCAUGUAUCUGAUUCUCACCCACCUCAAAUAGACUUGUGGAACCAAGAUACAGAAUCAGGGGGAAAAGUAGGGCCUGCACUGUUGCUCAACUGUCCUAAUCAUAAUCAGGUAAUAUCUUCCAUCAAAUUUGCAAGCUAUGGAACACCACUAGGGACGUGUGGAAACUUCUACCGCGGACGCUGCAGCAGCAAUAAGACACUGUCAAUUGUAAAGAAGGUGUUUAUCUGGAUUCAUGUUCCCUUUCUAAUUUGUUAUGGUUCACUUUAUGUUGAGUAUGACUCUUAGUUUAAUUAUAUGUGAGUAGGUUGCUUGAGUUGGUGAGAAUAAUAGAAAAUAAACUAAUCAACUCAUAGUAUUUAAACACAGGUAGUAAUAUGUAACCUCUUUGCUGCCGUAGAUGUAUACACAAUUGGCCGAACUCCGCGAUCAAAUCUUGUUUUUUUGUUGUUGCUGUUGGUUUUAAGCUGGUUAGCGGCGAAACUCACACACACAUUAUGUACUGAGAAGUGGAGAAUUGUGGGUUCAAACCUGCGUUCCAACAUAUCAAAUGUCCCUGCAAAAUUUUACCAUCUGAGUUGUACUUACGGGACAAUCUCAGUGUUAUUUGUUUGUGUUUUCUUUUGAACCUGAUUGUUGUAACAUACUAAAAUCAUCUUAUUAACAGGCCUGCAUUGGAUCAAGAAGUUGUAGUAUUGGAGUAUCAACCGAUACAUUUGGAGACCCUUGUAAAGGAGUGCCAAAGAGUUUAGCCGUUGAAGCUACUUGUGCAUAGACAAACAUGUAACAUGUUGCUCCAAGAGCAGUCAUCAAUUGUCUUCAACUCUUAUCUUAAAUUCUUCUUCCCUUUCCAAAUUAGAAUUGUAUUCUAGGAACAUCCCAAUUUAUUUUUCUUCAAUUAGAAUAGUUUAGUACCACUUGCAAUAAAAGAAACAAAAAUGUGGUCCUUAUGAUGUUUGAUACGUGAUAAAAUGGUCCCAUAUACUUGUAAUACAAGUUGCCCUCAGGGGGAGGGACCUGAACAGUGAAAAGUGGAAAAUUUGGACUUUUGGAGUAUGAACCAAGUUGGAUUAUUAG